GUGCCAGCAGCCGCGGUAAUACAGAGGGUGCGAGCGUUAAUCGGAUUUACUGGGCGUAAAGCGUGCGUAGGCGGCCAAUUAAGUCAAAUGUGAAAUCCCCGAGCUUAACUUGGGAAUUGCAUUCGAUACUGGUUGGCUAGAGUAUGGGAGAGGAUGGUAGAAUUCCAGGUGUAGCGGUGAAAUGCGUAGAGAUCUGGAGGAAUACCGAUGGCGAAGGCAGCCAUCUGGCCUAAUACUGACGCUGAGUACGAAAGCAUGGGAGCAAACAGGAUUAGAUACCCUGGUAGUCCAUGACCCGUAAACGAUGUCUACUAGCCGUUGGGCCUUUGAGGUCUUUAGUGGCGCAGCUAAACGCGAAUAAGUAGACCGCCGUGGGAGUACGGUCGCAAGACUAAAC
rnacentral:rRNA from 1 species